GCAAGCUAGUAAGGGCUCGGGAUGGAUGCCUCGGCGGCCGGAGCCGAGGAAGGGCGUGGCAAGCUGCGAAAAGCCCCGGUGAGGCGCAAGCAGCCUAUGACCCGGGGAUGCCCGAAUGGGGAAACCCGCCGGGCCUUGUAGCCCGGCAUCCCGCCCUCGUGGCGGGAGGGGACACCGGGCGAAGCAAAACCUUUUAGUAGCCCGAGGAAAGGAAAUCAACCGAGACGCCCCGAGUAGCGGCGAGCGAAAGGGGCUCAGCCCAAACCGCGGUGGUGUCAUGGCGGCGGCCUUAGCCACCGCGGGGUUGUGGGACCUGUCCGGAGGAGUCCGCCGACUCCUCGGGGAGUUACAAAACCCCAGCCUAGCCGAAGUCCCCUGGAAUGGGGCGCCAUAGAGGGUGAAAGCCCCGUAGGCGAAAGGCUAGGGGUCUCCCUGGGGCAGGUUCCCGAGUACCGCGGCCCCCGUGAAAGGUCGCGGGAAGCAGGGGGGACCACCCUCCAAGGCUAAGUACUACCGGCCGACCGAUAGCGCAUAGUACCGUGAGGGAAAGGUGAAAAGAACCCCGGGAGGGGAGUGAAAGAGAACCUGAAAUCCCGAGUCCACAACCCAGUGGAAGGGGUGUGCCUCUGGCACGCCCCGACUGCGUGCCUUUUGCAGAAUGAGCCGGGGAGUUGUCCUCCGCGGCGAGGCUAAGCCGUAAGGCGAAGCCGUAGCGAAAGCGAGUCCGAAUAGGGCGCUAAGUCGCGGGGGGCAGACGCGAAGCCGGGCGAUCUACCCUUGCCCUGGGUGAAGGCCGGGUAACACCGGCUGGAGGCCCUAAGGGGUCGGUGCUGCAAAACCGUCCCGUGAGGUGAGGGUAGCGGUGAAAAGCCAAUCGCGCCCGGGGAUAGCUCGUUCUCCCCGAAAUGCAUCGAAGUGCAGCCUCGCACCAGCUGCAGCCGGAGGUAGAGCCACCGGUAGGGCUAGGGCCCCGAAAGGGGUACCGAACCCUGCCGAACUCCGAAUGCCGGCUGGCAGGGUGCGGGAGUGAGUCCUCGGAGGAUAAGCCCCGAGGACAAGAGGGAAACAACCCAGACCGCCGGCUAAGGUCCCCAAGUCCGGGCUAAGUGGUAAAGGAAGUCCCCCUCCGAAGACAGCCGGGAGGUUGGCUUAGAGGCAGCCAUCCUUUAAACAGUGCGUAACAGCUGACCGGUCGAGGAGGGGGGCGCCGAAAGAUUCUCGGGGCUCAAGCCCGGCGCCGAAGCCGCGGGUCACACAGCCCUCCGGGGCUGUGUGGCGGUAGGGGAGCGUUCCCAGCGCGCCGAAGCCCAAGCCGUGAGGCAGGGUGGAGCGCUGGGAAGUGAGAAUCCCGGCAUGAGUAGGAGCGAAGGCAGGUGAGAAACCUGCCCGCCGGAAGCCCAAGGUUUCGGCGGCAAUGAAAAUCAGCCGCCGGUUAGCCGGGACCCUAAGGCGAGGCCGAAAGGCGUAGCCGAUGGGAAGCGGGUCAACAUUCCCGCGCCAGUCGGGUGGAGACCGGGUCGUGACGCAGGAGGCUAGGCCGGGCCCGCAAUGGAUGCGGGUGCAAGGUAGUAGGGGGACGGGACAGGCAAAUCCGUCCCGUCAUACCCCGAGAGCCGAUGCCGUAAGCCGGCCGACGCCACACUGCCAAGAAACAACGGCACGGUCUGUGAGGCCCGACUGCCCGUACCGGAAACCGACACAGGUGGGCUGGGUUAGGAGCCUAAGGCGUCGGGGGAACUCUCCUCAAGGAACUCGGCAAGUUGGCCCCGUACCUUCGGAAGAAGGGGUGCCCGUGGGGGUGUAGGCCCUCGCGGCCGAAGCCCCCGCGGGUCGCAGUGACAGGGCGGUGCCGACUGUUUACCAAAAACACAGCACUCCGCAAACCCGUAAGGGGAUGUAUGGGGUGUGAAGCCUGGCCAGUGCCCGUAGGUGAACCCCCCGGGUGAUAAGCUCGGGGGUUAAGCCCGGGUAAACGCCGGCCGUAACUAUGACGGUCCUAAGGUAGCGAAAUUCCUUGUCGGGUAAGUUCCGACCUGCAUGAAUGGCGUAACGAUUUCUCCGCUGUCUCCAACAUCAACUCAGUGAAAUUGAAUUCUCCGUGAAGAUGCGGAGUUCGCGUAGUUAGACGGAAAGACCCCGUGCACCUUUACUGCAACUUUACAUUGGUGUUAGGAAAAACAUAUUUAGCAUAGGAGGGAGACAUUGAAGCGAAAGCGUCAGCUUUUGUGGAGUCACCAGUGAAAUACCUCUUUUGUUUUUCUUGGCAUCUAACUGAUUGCCGUCAUCCGGCAUCAAGACAUUGUAUGGUGGGUAGUUUGACUGGGGCGGUCGCCUCCCAAAAAGUAACGGAGGCGUGCGACGGUAGGCUCAGAACGGUCAGAAAUCGUUCGUGGAGUGCAAUGGCAUAAGCCUGCCUGACUGUGAGACUGACAAGUCGAGCAGAGUCGAAAGACGGUCAUAGUGAUCCGGUGGUUCUGAGUGGAAGGGCCAUCGCUCAACGGAUAAAAGGUACGCCGGGGAUAACAGGCUGAUACCCCCCAAGAGUCCAUAUCGACGGGGGUGUUUGGCACCUCGAUGUCGGCUCAUCACAUCCUGGGGCUGGAGCAGGUCCCAAGGGUUUGGCUGUUCGCCAAUUAAAGUGGUACGUGAGCUGGGUUCAGAACGUCGUGAGACAGUUCGGUCCCUAUCUGCUAUGCGUGUAGAAGAAUUGAGAGGAGCUGUCCCUAGUACGAGAGGACCGGGAUGGACGUACCACUGGUGGACCGGUUGUAGCGCCAGCUGCAGUGCCGGGUAGCUAAGUAUGGACGAGAUAACUGCUGAAAGCAUCUAAGCGGGAAACUCACCUCAAAACUAGUUCUUCCUAUAGAGCCGUGGUAGACCACCACGUUGAUAGGCUGGAUGUGGAAGCGCAGUAAUGCGUGUAGCUGACCAGUACUAAUAGCUCAAUUGGCUUGAUUUA
rnacentral:rRNA from 1 species